GCGCUGGCGCAGUGGAAGCGCGCCCGAGAUGUUCGGGAGGUCGCGGGUUCGACUCCCGCGCGUGCGCG
rnacentral:tRNA from 1 species